rnacentral:lncRNA from 1 species
AUGCUGGGGGCGCUGGGCUGUAUCACCCCUGAGGUGCUCGAGAAGUGGGUGCGCGUGGACUUCAAGGAGCCCGUCUGGUUCAAGGCCGGCGCGCAGAUCUUCUCCGAGGGCGGCCUGGACUACCUCGGGAACCCCAACCUGGUGCACGCGCAGAGCAUCCUCGCCGUGCUCGGCUUCCAGGUCAUCCUCAUGGGCCUCGUCGAGGGCUUCCGCAUCAACGGCCUCGACGGCGUCGGCGAGGGCAACAACCUCUACCCCGGCGGCCAGUACUUCGACCCCUUGGGCCUCGCCGACGACCCCGUCACCUUCGCCGAGCUCAAGGUCAAGGAGAUCAAGAACGGCCGCCUCGCCAUGUUCUCCAUGUUCGGAUUCUUCGUCCAGGCCAUCGUCACCGGCAAGGGGCCACUCGAGAACCUGCUCGACCAC